AGAAAAGUGAUGACUGAGGCCUAUGAAGUCCCAGCUUCUAGUUGUGUGGAGCUUGUGAAUACGAUUUGGAAUCACAUGAACAACUCCAGGAAAAUCUGCAAUUCAACAUGGACAGGACAACAGUUUCAGGAUCUGGGCAUCGGUAGAUACAGAAGAGACAUGGAGAUGGAAUUCUAGUAAAAGAAGAGCAAGAAUCACUAGCAGUUUAGAGCUGCAAAAAGAUCAAAAUAUAGCAAACAUGCCUGAACUCCGCGCGCUAGCUUUGAGUGUUGGAAUUUUGUCCAAGUCUUGUUCUCUUCGAGUUUGUCCUAAAAGACCCCGUUUAAAAGUUGAUUGCAAGAGAAUACCACAGGAAAAGAGCCCCUUUAUUUUGUUUGCUCCUACGGGACGGAGGAGGUUAGGUUAGCCGAAAGAUGGUUAUCGUUUAAGGACGCAAGAUGUCCCUACUUUUUCGGGAUAAGAAGGGUAGAGAAAAUGCCUCAAGCCAAUGUUCGAGUACCAGACGCUACAACGCUGAAUUAACCCAUGCCACUCCCAGGAAAAAGCUCAAACGACCUCCAACAGAAGGGCACUUGCAAUCAUUGAACAAGUUAUGGUUUUUCGAUACUUAAUUGAUUAAACAAUCUUUGUAGGUGACCAAGUAGGGUACAAUCCUUUACGAAGAGCUUCUAUUCCAAGAACAUAUAUGAGGAGUUUACAGUGAUGUUCCUGAAUGCAUGGUGCAUCCACCAUCUGUCAGCUAUGAUACCUGGGCUUUUCACUUUACCUUGCCUCCCUUUAUGACAGUUUUCAAUUUGAAGAACCAGGCACACGGAUAUGUACUCACAUCCAACACCCAUACCCAAGUCCAAGUAUCAUAGUCUGCCUGUUGAUCUAGAGGAGAACUGGCAGCUAAUAUUUCAUGCCACAAUGGACAAAAUCAUUUACAGAGUUAUUUAAUAUAUUUAUAUUCACUUGUAUUUGGAUAUGUUGGCAAUGCUUGAGUGGGGAACUACAGAGCAUUCUUUGAGAAUGCUCAUAAAGAUUAAGAGGCAACAAUGGAUUUUUU